rnacentral:rRNA from 1 species
AGAGUUUGAUCCUGGCUCAGAACGAACGCUGGCGGCAUGCCUAACACAUGCAAGUCGAACGAGACCUUCGGGUCUAGUGGCGCACGGGUGCGUAACGCGUGGGAAUCUGCCCUUGGGUUCGGAAUAACAGUUAGAAAUGACUGCUAAUACCGGAUGAUGACUUCGGUCCAAAGAUUUAUCGCCCAAGGAUGAGCCCGCGUAGGAUUAGGUAGUUGGUGGGGUAAAGGCUCACCAAGCCGACGAUCCUUAGCUGGUCUGAGAGGAUGAUCAGCCACACUGGGACUGAGACACGGCCCAGACUCCUACGGGAGGCAGCAGUGGGGAAUAUUGGACAAUGGGCGAAAGCCUGAUCCAGCAAUGCCGCGUGAGUGAUGAAGGCCUUAGGGUUGUAAAGCUCUUUUACCAGGGAUGAUAAUGACAGUACCUGGAGAAUAAGCUCCGGCUAACUCCGUGCCAGCAGCCGCGGUAAUACGGAGGGAGCUAGCGUUGUUCGGAAUUACUGGGCGUAAAGCGCACGUAGGCGGUACAUCAAGUCAGGGGUGAAAGCCCGGAGCUCAACUCCGGAACUGCCCUUGAAACUAGUGUACUAGAAUCUUGGAGAGGCGGGUGGAAUUCCGAGUGUAGAGGUGAAAUUCGUAGAUAUUCGGAAGAACACCAGUGGCGAAGGCGGCCCGCUGGACAAGUAUUGACGCUGAGGUGC